UGCCCCAUGGCUGAGUUGGUUACAGCGUCCGACUGUUAUAUCGCGAUCGGAAGGUCGUGAGUUCGAGCCUCACUGGGGCAG
rnacentral:tRNA from 1 species